rnacentral:rRNA from 1 species
CGGUAAAGAGCGGCGGACGGGUGAGUAACGCGUGGGUAACCUGCCCUGUACACACGGAUAACAUACCGAAAGGUAUGCUAAUACGAGAUAAAAUACGUUUUAUCGCAUGGUGGAAGUAUCAAAGCUUUUGCGGUACAGGAUGGACCCGCGUCUGAUUAGCUAGUUGGUAAGGUAACGGCUUACCAAGGCGACGAUCAGUAGCCGACCUGAGAGGGUGAUCGGCCACAUUGGAACUGAGACACGGUCCAAACUCCUACGGGAGGCAGCAG